GACGAACCGUCCAAACGUUGUUCGGAAUCACUGGGCUUAAAGGGCGCGUAGGCGGGCAACCAAGUCCGAGGUGAAAUCCUCCAGCUUAACUGGAGAAGUGCCCCGGAUACUGGCUGCCUCGAGGAGGGUAGGGGCAUCUGGAACUAGCGGUGGAGCGGUGAAAUGCGUUGAUAUCGCUAGGAACUCCGGUGGCGAAGGCGAGGUGCUGGACCCUUUCUGACGCUGAGGCGCGAAAGCCAGGGAGCGAACGGG
rnacentral:rRNA from 1 species